rnacentral:lncRNA from 1 species
CUGGGCAUCUUGUCCUUGCUGGAAAGAAAUGGUAAUUGCUGUGUUUUUCUGGAUCUUGUGAGGAAUCAAACCAACGGACCGACCUAACUUUUGGGUUUGGUUUGAUUUGGAUCCAUCUCUACUCAGUUCUCUUUCAUUUUUUUUUUUAAAAUUACUCUUUAAUCCUUAUAUUAUAAAAAAAAAUUAUUACUUAAUCUUUUUGAUUUUAAAAAAUAAGUUUUACAUUUUAAAAGUCUAUUAAUUAACUAUUUCCUUAAUUUUUUUUCUGUAGUUAGUCCAUCAAAUUUCAAAUUUAUAAAAGAUCUAUUGGUAAAUUUUACUUUUUUCCCUUAUGUUUUUUAAUUUGUUUUGGAACUAAACCGACCGGUUACAAUCCCUCUCUCACACCACACCACACCACACCACACCACACCACACCACACCACACCACACCACACCACACCACCUUCCUCUCAUCUAUACCUUUUUGGUUAGACUCGGCCAGAGGCUGGUUUCAGUCUAGAUUUGGACUGAAAUUGCUGGUUCCUAACCAUUUUGAUUCGAAACAGUUUCGUUUGUAAACCGUUUCAAUUUGAAAAUGGUUGCCGUUCUGUUAGGACUCGAUCACGAUUUGAAUUUUUUUUAAAACUAUUAUAAUGUUAAUAUUUUACACGUUAGAUUAUAUAAAUUUUGAUUAAAGGAACUAAACCAAC